UACGUAGGGUGCGAGCGUUAAUCGGAAUUACUGGGCGUAAAGCGUGCGCAGGCGGUUCGUUGUGUCGGUGGUGAAAGCCCCGGGCUUAACCUGGGAACUGCAUUUGUGACUGCACGGCUGGAGUGCGGCAGAGGGGGAUGGAAUUCCGCGUGUAGCAGUGAAAUGCGUAGAUAUGCGGAGGAACACCGAUGGCGAAGGCAAUCCCCUGGGCCUGCACUGACGCUGAGGCACGAAAGCUAGGGGAGCAAACAGG
rnacentral:rRNA from 1 species